GAUGAACGCUGGCGGCGUGCCUAAUACAUGCAAGUCGAGCGAACGGACGAGAAGCUUGCUUCUCUGAUGUUAGCGGCGGACGGGUGAGUAACACGUGGAUAACCUACCUAUAAGACUGGGAUAACUUCGGGAAACCGGAGCUAAUACCGGAUAAUAUUUUGAACCGCAUGGUUCAAAAGUAAAAGACGGUCUUGCUGUCACUUAUAGAUGGAUCCGCGCUGCAUUAGCUAGUUGGUAAGGUAACGGCUUACCAAGGCAACGAUGCAUAGCCGACCUGAGAGGGUGAUCGGCCACACUGGAACUGAGACACGGUCCAGACUCCUACGGGAGGCAGCAGUAGGGAAUCUUCCGCAAUGGGCGAAAGCCUGACGGAGCAACGCCGCGUGAGUGAUGAAGGUCUUCGGAUCGUAAAACUCUGUUAUUAGGGAAGAACAUAUGUGUAAGUAACUGUGCACAUCUUGACGGUACCGAAUCAGAAAGCCACGGCUAACUACGU
rnacentral:rRNA from 1 species